GGGUUGUGAGGUUAAGCGACUAAGCGUACACGGUGGAUGCCCUGGCAGUCAGAGGCGAUGAAGGACGUGCUAAUCUGCGAUAAGCGUCGGUAAGGUGAUAUGAACCGUUAUAACCGGCGAUUUCCGAAUGGGGAAACCCAGUGUGAUUCGUCACACUAUCAUUAACUGAAUCCAUAGGUUAAUGAGGCGAACCGGGGGAACUGAAACAUCUAAGUACCCCGAGGAAAAGAAAUCAACCGAGAUUCCCCCAGUAGCGGCGAGCGAACGGGGAGGAGCCCAGAGCCUGAAUCAGUGUGUGUGUUAGUGGAAGCGUCUGGAAAGGCGCGCGAUACAGGGUGACAGCCCCGUACACAAAAAUGCACAUGCUGUGAGCUCGAUGAGUAGGGCGGGACACGUGGUAUCCUGUCUGAAUAUGGGGGGACCAUCCUCCAAGGCUAAAUACUCCUGACUGACCGAUAGUGAACCAGUACCGUGAGGGAAAGGCGAAAAGAACCCCGGCGAGGGGAGUGAAAAAGAACCUGAAACCGUGUACGUACAAGCAGUGGGAGCACGCUUAGGCGUGUGACUGCGUACCUUUUGUAUAAUGGGUCAGCGACUUAUAUUCUGUAGCAAGGUUAACCGAAUAGGGGAGCCGAAGGGAAACCGAGUCUUAACUGGGCGUUAAGUUGCAGGGUAUAGACCCGAAACCCGGUGAUCUAGCCAUGGGCAGGUUGAAGGUUGGGUAACACUAACUGGAGGACCGAACCGACUAAUGUUGAAAAAUUAGCGGAUGACUUGUGGCUGGGGGUGAAAGGCCAAUCAAACCGGGAGAUAGCUGGUUCUCCCCGAAAGCUAUUUAGGUAGCGCCUCGUGAAUUCAUCUCCGGGGGUAGAGCACUGUUUCGGCAAGGGGGUCAUCCCGACUUACCAACCCGAUGCAAACUGCGAAUACCGGAGAAUGUUAUCACGGGAGACACACGGCGGGUGCUAACGUCCGUCGUGAAGAGGGAAACAACCCAGACCGCCAGCUAAGGUCCCAAAGUCAUGGUUAAGUGGGAAACGAUGUGGGAAGGCCCAGACAGCCAGGAUGUUGGCUUAGAAGCAGCCAUCAUUUAAAGAAAGCGUAAUAGCUCACUGGUCGAGUCGGCCUGCGCGGAAGAUGUAACGGGGCUAAACCAUGCACCGAAGCUGCGGCAGCGACGCUUAUGCGUUGUUGGGUAGGGGAGCGUUCUGUAAGCCUGUGAAGGUGUGCUGUGAGGCAUGCUGGAGGUAUCAGAAGUGCGAAUGCUGACAUAAGUAACGAUAAAGCGGGUGAAAAGCCCGCUCGCCGGAAGACCAAGGGUUCCUGUCCAACGUUAAUCGGGGCAGGGUGAGUCGACCCCUAAGGCGAGGCCGAAAGGCGUAGUCGAUGGGAAACAGGUUAAUAUUCCUGUACUUGGUGUUACUGCGAAGGGGGGACGGAGAAGGCUAUGUUGGCCGGGCGACGGUUGUCCCGGUUUAAGCGUGUAGGCUGGUUUUCCAGGCAAAUCCGGAAAAUCAAGGCUGAGGCGUGAUGACGAGGCACUACGGUGCUGAAGCAACAAAUGCCCUGCUUCCAGGAAAAGCCUCUAAGCAUCAGGUAACAUCAAAUCGUACCCCAAACCGACACAGGUGGUCAGGUAGAGAAUACCAAGGCGCUUGAGAGAACUCGGGUGAAGGAACUAGGCAAAAUGGUGCCGUAACUUCGGGAGAAGGCACGCUGAUAUGUAGGUGAAGUCCCUCGCGGAUGGAGCUGAAAUCAGUCGAAGAUACCAGCUGGCUGCAACUGUUUAUUAAAAACACAGCACUGUGCAAACACGAAAGUGGACGUAUACGGUGUGACGCCUGCCCGGUGCCGGAAGGUUAAUUGAUGGGGUCAGCGCAAGCGAAGCUCUUGAUCGAAGCCCCGGUAAACGGCGGCCGUAACUAUAACGGUCCUAAGGUAGCGAAAUUCCUUGUCGGGUAAGUUCCGACCUGCACGAAUGGCGUAAUGAUGGCCAGGCUGUCUCCACCCGAGACUCAGUGAAAUUGAACUCGCUGUGAAGAUGCAGUGUACCCGCGGCAAGACGGAAAGACCCCGUGAACCUUUACUAUAGCUUGACACUGAACAUUGAGCCUUGAUGUGUAGGAUAGGUGGGAGGCUUUGAAGUGUGGACGCCAGUCUGCAUGGAGCCGACCUUGAAAUACCACCCUUUAAUGUUUGAUGUUCUAACGUUGACCCGUAAUCCGGGUUGCGGACAGUGUCUGGUGGGUAGUUUGACUGGGGCGGUCUCCUCCUAAAGAGUAACGGAGGAGCACGAAGGUUGGCUAAUCCUGGUCGGACAUCAGGAGGUUAGUGCAAUGGCAUAAGCCAGCUUGACUGCGAGCGUGACGGCGCGAGCAGGUGCGAAAGCAGGUCAUAGUGAUCCGGUGGUUCUGAAUGGAAGGGCCAUCGCUCAACGGAUAAAAGGUACUCCGGGGAUAACAGGCUGAUACCGCCCAAGAGUUCAUAUCGACGGCGGUGUUUGGCACCUCGAUGUCGGCUCAUCACAUCCUGGGGCUGAAGUAGGUCCCAAGGGUAUGGCUGUUCGCCAUUUAAAGUGGUACGCGAGCUGGGUUUAGAACGUCGUGAGACAGUUCGGUCCCUAUCUGCCGUGGGCGCUGGAGAACUGAGGGGGGCUGCUCCUAGUACGAGAGGACCGGAGUGGACGCAUCACUGGUGUUCGGGUUGUCAUGCCAAUGGCACUGCCCGGUAGCUAAAUGCGGAAGAGAUAAGUGCUGAAAGCAUCUAAGCACGAAACUUGCCCCGAGAUGAGUUCUCCCUGACUCCUUGAGAGUCCUGAAGGAACGUUGAAGACGACGACGUUGAUAGGCCGGGUGUGUAAGCGCAGCGAUGCGUUGAGCUAACCGGUACUAAUGAACCGUGAGGCUUAACCUUACAACGCCGAAG
rnacentral:rRNA from 2 species